CCCGCCCGCGGGCCCUGGCUCCUUCCUCUGCUGCUCUUUCUUCACGUUGUCUUAGAAAUGCCCCGACUCUGCGGGCAAGAUGGAGAAAGUUGCCGAGACUUGAGCGCAGCGCGCGCGAGUCGGAGGCAAAGUCCAAAGCAGAGAUAAGACCCCUGCGGGGGAGCCUUGUCACCCGGCAGAGUGAGACCUGCCCCCGGUCAGCUAAGGGCCCCUGCUCCGGGCGGGAGGGUUUCCCCCCAACAUGCAGGGAGCAAUGAAUUUGCAGAUUUCGGGGGUGCAGGACGUGCCGGCGACCUGGAGUGACCUUCCUCUGUCCUCGGGGUGCGGGGCGAGCUCCGCAGGCGCGCAGGAAGAAGAGAGGGGCCGGGUGGUCCUCCCCCUUUCCCCUCCCACACCCCUUUGCCGCAGUCCAGGCCCAUUGGGUGUUGGGGACCGGCUCGGUGCGUCUCGCUCACGAGUUCCUAGAGGAGGGCCCUGCCCCGCGGAUUUUACUGCAGUCACCGACGGAAGCGCUUUAACGUAACUGCCCGGUGGCAGAUAGAAGCAGCUGGGGAGGAAGCGCCACUUCUCCUAAACCGCUCGAGUAGCUCUCAUUAACCGCAGAGGCGGCGCAGCGCCCCGUGAAACGGGUGUCCCUGACCGCUUGGGUACAAUGCACCAGGCUGGGCUACUUUAAGACAAACUAAUGGAAGGCAGGCGGGGGCGAGGCGGAGAUGGAGACCCGGAACGCGUGGUGAGGGGGGAGCAGCACGUGGACACCGCCCCAGGGGACAGGGCUGGGACUGUUUCCACCAGCUGUCCGCAGCCACAUUCUUGAGGUCUGAAUUUAGACUGUCGUCCAAUGAGCAAAGACCGCGGCCGCUUCGGAGCCCUGCAGCCUGCAGCGUGGUGACUGUCACUUUUCUAAAGCUCUGCAGCAGCGAGAGAGGGCAAAGUAGCUGAUGAAGCACUUCUACAGGUAGAAGCAGCCUCCCGCUGCGGGCUGCUCUCUUCCACUGCAGCUGGGCCAGUCCACGUGUCACCUGCACCCCCAAUUUCAGCCGCUAGCUGCGUUGCCUGGCCGGUGGUCCUCCCUCUCUCCCCUGACAGCAUCGCCUUUCCCCAGCACUCACCCCGCUCUGGGACUGACACCCUUAGCUCCCUUCACAGGCCUGCCCUGACCUGGAGUCCCUACGGGAAGGUAUUGGUGCUCACCAGCUGGAAUAAGCCUGCGGCCUUGCUUUCUAGAGGUGUGUGGUGUAGCUGACUGAAUAACAGCUGCCCCAGAAGAGAAUAAAAGAAAAGGUGUGCACAAAACAGGUAGUACAGCACACGCCCUCCGUUAGAUUCUUCUCUACAGAGUUCUUCCCCAGUGAUCGCCCCCUUGGCCUUUUGACUAAGAUCAAGUAUCCUUCCCCUAUGAAUUUCUGCGUGUAUCCAUUCAGCAAUUCUACUACUGAUUCAAUUCCCAGAACUCUAUUCUGCUGUCUCUUCUCAAAAUGUGUUUCCUCGGUUUUCUAUCAUGUUUUUCAUCUGUCUUUUCUGCUGUCAAUUCAGUACUUAGACCUAGAUGGGAUGAAAUCACAAGUGAAGAGGGGUAUGAUAAGGAAUGAACACCCAACCAGGAGUCCACCUCCCGAGCAUGUCGUCCAGCCCCCAGCCUACCCGCUGCAUGGCCGCAGGCCCCAGUGGGGGUCUACUCCCCAGCUAAAAUUGGUCUAGUGCGUGUAUAAAGUGACCUGUAAGCUAUAAAAUCCUCCAUAAAUUUAAGGUGGCCACUUGAGAAAAGAAAGCUCUUUCACCUCCCCUGCUUUGUUCAUAACUUGUGUCCCCUUUAAUUUCCCUGGACACCUCCCGCAAUGCACAUCAGCAGAGAAUCCUUUCACUCCCUUCCCAUAAGUGUAACCCCCUCUACAGCCCCGCAGCCCGCUCGUGGACUUCUGCUUAGGAAGAGUGAGCGGAUGGAACGGACAAUGGGCGGCUUGGGAAGAUUGAAGCCUAUUCCCAGUCUGACUCUGUGGGCGCGGUUGAGCUUGGUAACAGGGUAGCAGCAUUGCAGCCAGCAUUUACUGACUUCUUCCUGUGUUUCGGACUCUAGAGGUACUUUUGUGCUUUGUGAGAUUUCUGUUUGAAAGGCGUGGAAAGACAGUACCCGACGCAGGGGUCUUACCAGCGGCUGCAGAAAUUACAGCUCACUUCCCCACCACCCCUGUCGGAGGAUGCAUCCCUGUAAACGUGAAAGUCGUCAGCCUUGGGAGGCCUGGCAAGAGGCAGCGGCUUCCCGUCCCUUCCUCUGUCAGCCUUGUUUUCCUUAGUCAGGUCCAGCGCAGGACUCUCCCAAGUUACCACACACUGCGGGUCCAGAACGUCCCGUCGCGCACCCUCGGUUGACCAUCUUCACCGCCGGGAAAGCUGCCAGGCUUCCUUCCUGGUGUGACCUCCACGGCUUUAUUUGCCUCUUUAUUUCCACUUCUCGCCAUCCUUCUUUUGGUCGCUCCAGCAUGACCCAUUUUAACUUCCAGCUCCCUGCCAAGGACCUUGGUGCCAUGGAGCUGACAUUCCAUGGAGAGAAACAGACAACAAGCAAGCAACCACAGGUCUUGAUCGCGGCAGCAAGGGCUGCAGGAAAACCAAAACGGAGUUCUGUGUACAGGAGGGAAGCUGCUUUCUAGGGCUUUCUAAGAGGAUGGCACUCACUGAGACUCCGAGGAAGACAGACUGAGCCGGCUACCAGCUGAGGAAAGGCCCUCGGGGGAGCCCGCAAGCACCAAGGCGGGAACGCGCUUGAUCCACUGAAGAAGAGGCAGGAAGCCGUGGCAGCGGAAGGCAGCCGAAUUUCUGGUCAUUCUCCCUGAAUUAUCGGCCUGCAGUUUCUGCAUUCAUCUCCAACUCCCCUUUUUAUUAUCGGUAAUGAGGAUGCUGGUUUAAUGAAGCGGCUGUCCUCUUCAUUUCUUCUGGUCCUGUGAUUUUUACUGACUCCGUGGAUACUUAAAUGACCUUGCGCUUACCAGGCAGUGUUUAAACUCGGUAUACAAUUUCUUGUUGCCAGUUGUCCUCAUCCACUUUGUCAGGCUCUAACAGAGUGCCACAGACUGGGGACAUUAGUGAACAAGAGAAACGUCCUGGUUCUGAACCGAGAAGUCUGAGGAACAGCUCCGGCGCUUGGAUUGUUUGUGAUCAUCUCCCCAGAGCAACAGCUUAUAGAGAUCUCAUCUGAAGAGGAGGAGGAGAAAAAGGUGGAGGAAUCCCGCAUUUCAAAUGAGAUUAGAGAGAUGUGGGAAAUGCGGGAAACACUGCAAAAUUUUGUAGAAGUGCACCACCCAAAUAAGGCUGUAGCAGUGUAAGCCAUAAAUCUGUUUAGUGACUGCAAUGUCACAUUUCCACAAAAUCCUCAAAAGAAGACGAAAGCAAGCAUCAUUGGACAGGUUCCUCAUUAAGGUUGCGCGAAAAGAAAAAGAUUCCACUGAGCUGAUAGAUAGCAGUGAUUCCAUUUGUGAUAGGGAAAGUCAUCUUAGACAAUAAUCCACCUCUCUCUUGUCUCCCUCAUACAACGUUGUUUUAAGUUGUUUAUUUUUCUUUAUAUUUUAUAUUUUCUUUAUCAUUUCUUUAUUAAUAUUAUAGUAUUAUAAAAUCAUUUUCAAUAUGGAUAUUUUGGGGUUGUAGAACAAGUCAUUUGAGUUUCCAUUAUUUCUUAUGGGGAAAUUCACUUUUAUAUAUGAGUGUUUUUGGAUUAUGAGAAUAUUUGUAGAAUGAAUUAUACUCACAAACCAAGCUUUUACUCUACUUAGCUUUUUAAUGUUAAUCUUUUCAGCAACCAGGUUCUCUCCUCCAUCUUUUCAGGCUGCAAUUUUACAGGAGCUUCCUUUCUGGCCAAACUCAAAACUUUUUAAUCAUUCUGCUGGGCCAUUUGCUCUUGAUUCUCAAGGUACAGCUGACUAAAAACCAUCUCUCAACAAAAAUCUCCCAUCAAGGUCAGUUUACAGCAUUCUACAGCUGCCUUUCCAACAGGCAACUCCAAUGGGAUCUUUCCAAACUCUUCCCACAAGCCAGUUCCAAAGGCUCCUGAACCACAUGGCCAGGUAGUGUCACAGCAACAGUCCCUCUUCUCUGGUACCAAAAGCUCCCUUAGUCAGGUCUCACUAGAGAAACAGAUUUACUAUAAGAUACAUAAAUAUAGAGAGGAGUUAUGAGGUUGGCUUACAAUGGCUGCCUGCAGAGUCAGCUAUGGAAGAGUGCCAAAGGACUGUCUGUGUGAUGAGGACACAAAGGAUCCAGUCAAAGGUCAAAGGCCUGGAGCUCACUGUAGAGUCCCAUGCAAGUCUGUCUUAAGAGGCUAAAUGGUCUGCACUGCAAGGCUGAAGGGACUGCACUGGAAGCCAGGAGACAGACACCCCAGGAGAAGGCAAAGACGGGAGCUCCUCCCACAAAACAGAAGCGAGCCUUCCUUCGGCUUUCCCUUUUUAUUCCACCCAGGCUGCAAGCCUAUUGGUUGGUGCCACCCACACUCAGGUGGGUCUUCCCGCUUCGUUAAAUCCAUCAUCCACUAGAACUAUUCUAAACCAAUCAGUGAACUAAUCCAGUAUCACACACCCCCCACCCAGCAUCACAUACCCAUCAUCCAGGCAAAGCCCCACCUAUGAAGGCAUGAAGCUUUGAGGGGGACACAAAGUCCCAGUUCAUCCCAGCAGUCCCACGUUGGUUAAAGCUUUGCUGUUAUCAUUGUCCCUCUGCAUCCAAGAUCGAUAAGUGAGUGCCCCUGGAGCCAGAACAAAGCUGUCAGUCAUCACUUUCCUGUGAAAGAGGUUUUUCCUUUCUCUAACUUCAGGCAUCUAGGACUCAUUUCUUCCAUAAUUCUCUGAUGUCUUUAAAAAUAUAAUUUUUGUAGUUACUCCAGUUGUUCCUAACUGCUGCAGUGGGUCUACUGGUCUACCUCAACCAGCUACAGUCUGUUCAAGUGUAUGAACUGCAUAUCUUACAUCUGAAAAUAAGAAAAGUAUUCUGUAAAGAGUUCUUCCUAAUAUUUCAUAGCAUUUUACUUAAAUUCAUUUUAACUUAUAUAAAGACAUAAAAUUAUGUAUAGAGAAAGUCCCCUCAAAAUAUAUACAUACUUCA